CUGCUAGCGCCGUGUUUGAGAAAAUAUGUUUGCUUAACUCAAGUAGGAAAGUUUCUCAUCUUGCAAGGAAGGACAAUGGCAGGAAAAGAAAGAGGGUAGAGGAAGAAGUGGAUGACUACCAUGAUAGUGAGGAUGAUGAAGAAGAAAAUGAGGAGCUGGACCUGGAAAUUGAUGAUGAUGAUGAUAGCCAUGAUGAUGGUGCAAGUCAAUCUGAUAGAGGAUUCGCCAAUGCAAAUUGAAAAGGAUUUAACAAGCCAAGUUGGAAACAAUGUUGAGGUAACAAGUGAUGGUAGUUUGGUGAACCGUAGAUCUGAACGGGUUAGGCAAGCCAAGAAGGUCAAGGAGGUCACCAGCCUUUACAAUUGACAAGUAAGUUCCUUGUGAUGACAUCAAUAAUUUCCCAUUUAUGCACUUUCUUAUAUCCUGUCAUUAACAUGUGGUGUUUGCUUUAGUCCAUAUGAUUUUAUAUGUUGUUUCAAUUGGGGUUGCCAUCUAUUAACUGUUGUUUCUGCCAUCUACUUGAUGUUUUUAUAAUUCACAAUGCGUUAGUCCAUAUGAUUCUAUAUGGUGUUUCAAUUGGGGCUGCCAUCUAUGAGUUAUUGCUGCCAUCUACUUGUAAUGUUUAUAUAAUUCACAAUGCUUUAGUCCAUCUGAAUUUAUAUGUUGUUUUAAUUUGGGCUGUCAUCUAUGAGUUGUUUCUGCCAUCUACUUGUAAUACUUAUAUAAUUCACAUUGUUUCUGCCCAUAUGAUUUUAUAUGUUGUUCCAAUUGCAGUUGCCAUCAUUGAGUUGUUGGUUCUGCCAUCUACUUGUAAUGUUUAUAUAAUUCACAAUGCUUUAAUUGCAAGGUUAAGCGGCAUGGGAGCAAAAGAGCUUUUGGUUUGAUGAAGACUAACGGGUGGAUGAACAGGAAGUCCGAAGUGAAGGUCUCUGUUCGAUUCAAUACUUUUGGUGCAAGACUGAAGAGUUGAAGAACAGGAAGUCUGAAUUGAACUUUUUGUUUGUAUUUUGGGGUCGACAUAAUUGAACUUUGAAUGUCGUGUUAAAUUCAUUGUGGACUGUAAUUCUGAACCUUAUGGGUGUUCGUUUCGACUCUUGGUAGAAUUAUUAAGUCGCAUGUUACUCUUAGUAUCUGAACUAUCAAGUCACAUGUUAAUCUGGACUAUCAUGUUGCUUUUCUAGUGGUUGCUGCUCUCCGAAUUGAUCCACUAUGCUAUUAUCUGAAUGGUUGCAACUGGAGUGUUGAUGUUUAGUCUGAUACGUAGUGAUUUGAUGAAUAGAUUCAGCUGUUUGAUUUUUACAUGCAUAUUUUGCUAAAAGUUCUGAAUACUCAUCUGUUGUUCUGUUGUAUUUCAAAAUUUUAGGCAAAUUUCGCCCAUUUUUCGUUCAUUUUUCGUUCAGUUUUCGUCCCAAAAUUCAAAUUUUGUUUUAUGAUUUUCGUCCGAGAUUUUCCGAAAAAAUCCGAAAAAUCCGAAUUUCGCCCAUUUCGUCAAGG
rnacentral:lncRNA from 1 species